rnacentral:rRNA from 1 species
ACGCCCGCUCAAGAAACUUAAAGGAUUGACGGGCCCCGCACAAGCAGCGGAGCGUGUGGUUUAAUUCGAUGCUACACGAAGAACCUUACCAGGGUUUGACAUACAAGUAGUAGGGAAAGGAAACUGGACCGACCCUUCGGGGAGCUUGAACAGGUGCUGCAUGGCUGUCGUCAGCUCGUGUCGUGAGAUGUUCGGUUAAGUCCGCUAACGAGCGCAACCCUCGCUGUGUGUUACAAGUGUCACACGGAACUGCCGGUCAUAAACCGGAGGAAGGUGGGGAUGACGUCAAGUCAGCAUGGCCUUUAUAUCCUGGGCUACACACACGCUACAAUGGGAAGGGACAAUAGGUUGCGAAACCGCGAGGUGGAGCCAAUCCAGCAAAACUUCCCUCAGUUCAGAUUGCAGGCUGCAACUCGCCUGCAUGAAGUUGGAGUUGCUAGUAAACGCAGGUCAGCCAUACUGCGUUGAAUACGUUCCCGGGGCUU